GCAGUAGCCGCGGUAAAACAGAGGGUGCGAGCGUUAAUCGGAUUUACUGGGCGUAAAGCGUGCGUAGGCGGCUUCUUAAGUCGGAUGUGAAAUCCCUGAGCUUAACUUAGGAAUUGCAUUCGAUACUGGGAAGCUAGAGUAUGGGAGAGGAUGGUAGAAUUCCAGGUGUAGCGGUGAAAUGCGUAGAGAUCUGGAGGAAUACCGAUGGCGAAGGCAGCCAUCUGGCCUAAUACUGACGCUGAGGUACGAAAGCAUGGGGAGCAAACAGGAUUAGAUACCCGCGUAGUCCCUGUCUCUUAUAA
rnacentral:rRNA from 1 species